GCUGGCACCAUGCAUGUGCCGCGCGCUGGGGGGGGUGGGCCAGCCCAGAUGUUUUGGCGGGUGCGCAUAAAUGCCCCAGCGGGUGCCAUGGCACCCGCAGGCACCGCAUUGAGGACCACUGCUCUGGAAAAUUAGAUCUUUGCAUGUGUCACACGCAAUAGGAGGUUACUCACCUGCCUGUAACUGACAUUCUUCGAGAUGAGCGUCCCUGCGGGUGCUCCAUAUCAGGUGUUGAGUGCCCAGCAUUUCGUCGGAUUUUUCUGAGCAAUGUAUCUGGGGCUGCGCAUGCGCGAGCCUCCCUCAGUACUAUCACUGCGCCCCCCCCACCUUCAGUUUCUUCUCUAUCCGGAACCCAGCAAAUAAUAUAUAAUUAAGAUAUCAUAGGGGCAUUCCAAAGUAGAGGGGAGGAAGAAAGGGUAAUGGAGCACAUCCAGGGAUGCUCAUCUUGAAGAACGUCAGUUACAGUAAGGUGAGUAACCUCCUUUUCUUCAUCGAGAGGUGUCCCUGCGGUUGUUCCACAUCAGGUGACUACAAGCAAUAUUUUCUUACGGAGGCAGGGACUUCGGAUCAGGUAAGUAUGCCAUUUGUAGUACAGCUUUUGCUAGUUUGGUAUGCUGGAGGGGUCCUGAGGUAAGUGCCUAAUGUUUUGCAAAGGUGUUUUCUGACGACAUGCAGUGGGAUUUUCCUCAGGUAAGAAACGGACGUGGCAACUGCCCUUGUGGAGUGUGCCUGAAUCGGAAUUGGUGAAGGUAUGGGUUCAAAUGGUGGUUUUGUGAGGGUUGUUAAUACCAAGUAUAAGUCACAAGGCCCUUGAGGGGGUGCCACCUAUGGUUAUAGAGCCUGGAGACCUUUCAAAAAUCGCUUGGUUACUGGGUGUGCAAAGACUGUAGCGUCUUUCACUGUUAUGUGGAAGGUUGCAACGGCUGCUAGGUGGACCCUGAUUGAGCUGAGGGAGAGAUGUGAGUGUUUGAGGUGUAGCACGUAUUCCAGUAGAUCAGGAAGUGGAGUGUCUUGUGGUCAUAUGUUACGAGAGGUUGCCCAGUGAACAAAUCGAAUCCAUUUGCUCAUGUAUGUUUUUCUUGUUGCAGGUGCUCUGCUUUGUAAGAGAACAUCACAGACUUGUUGAAAGCACUGCAGUUCUAUGCCCGUGAACCAUCUAGGUACCACACCUUGAGAUGGAGUGUGCGAAACUGUGGUAACCGAAGAUCAAGGAUUGGCCUCCGACCGCCUGUCUUCUUCUCUACAAGAAAAUAAUGGGUUUGGAUACCAAGUGACUGCAAUAUGGAUCUGGAAUCUUUCAUCGAUUGGAGCAGUUCAUUGGUCUUUGCAGAAAAUAGCUUUUCUCCAUCGAACAGAAGGUCUUCAACUGAUGGUUGCGCUUGGCAGGGAAAAGCAGAAGAGGCUCAUCUCAUAGUGACUGCUGUUGCCGUAGUCCUUGUAGCUGUGUUUGUUGCAUCAAGUGCAGCUUGCAGGGCUAUUUGUGGUAUCUGACCUUCUGAAACAAGAGCCUGAAACUGUGCCUUUUUGCUGUCAGGGAUAUCUUCAAUAAAAGUAUUGAACUUUGUAUAAUUAUUGAAGUCAUAUUUACUUAAUAAAGCCGCAUAGUUCGCCACUCUCAUCUGAAGAGUGGCAGAGGCAUAAACCUUCUUUCCGAACAUGUCCAUACGUUUAUUGUCCUUUUUGGAUGGGAUGGAAUGAUUUUGGCUUUUUGUUUCUCUGCUAUGAGGGAGUUGAGUGGAGGGUGAGAAAAGAGGAAUUGAGAACCCUUGGGGGGAACAUAGUAUUUUCGAUCAGCUUUCUUGCAUGUUGGUGGGAUGGAUGCAGGUGUUUGCCAUAGGGUUUUAGCGGGCUCCAAGAUAGCUGGAUUAAUAGGAAGUGCCAUCUUUGUUGCUGUACUGGCCUGGAGGAUUAGUGAGUUCAUGUUGAGAAACCUGAAUUUCUUCCAUAGAUAUAUUCAAAUCAAUAGCAACUCUUUUAAAUAAAUCUUGGAAAGAGGAAAUCAUCAUCGGUGGUAUGAGUAGCAGGUGAUAACAAAGCCAACUCUAUGGCUGAGGCUGCGUUUGAAUGUUAUGUAGAAGCCAACAUCAGAGAGCAGUGGCUUUCACUGUCAGUUCCCUUCAUAGAGGUGUGGGGUGACAGGUUUAAAAGAGAGCAGGGUUUCGCCAUAUGCUUCGUCUUACAUGGUCUCUUUUUAUAUUGUUGAGGUGGUUGAUUGAACAUUUUCCACUAUGGGAGGAAAAGCAUAGGCGGUGGCUCAAAAAAUAAGGAGCCCAGGGAGCCAUUUGUGCUCUAAGAAAAUCUGGUUGCGGCUGAUCAGCAGACCAUGUAGAGCCCUCCAUAUAUGGCUGAGGUGAAAAAGCAGGUAAAUAUUCCUCAUCGUCCUGGGGGGGAGGAGGGGAAGUCAGAGUAAUCAGAGAAUGGAGAUUGAGGAUGUAUAUUAUCAAAUUAUGCGAAUGUAAAGUGGGAGAGAUUGCCAGGUCUUUGUGGUCCUUGUGGCUAAUGAGGGGAGUAUGCAGCAUGGAUAGCUCUGCUGACUGUAAACAAAAGUUGCCCUGCUCAUCUGAGGUGUUGCCCCUGGUAACACGAGAGGGGGGCCAGCACCCAGCAGCUGAUCUAUGAGGGGAUUCCUCGAUGCUGUGAUAGGAGCGGGAAGAUCUCCUAUGGCCCGUAGUAGGGCGUGAGGCAGGCACUGGAAGACCUGAUGCCAGUAAAGGGUAGACUUUUUUGCCUUUUUAUUGCCCUUUCUGUGCUCACCCAAAGUGCCAGGGAUGUCAAACCUGCUCAAGCUGUUAUUGCCUGAGCACUGUGUAUUUCUCCCCUCAGCGUGCAGCUUUCUGGGCUGCUGACUCAGAGAGCUCAUCCCUGCCUUUGAUGGCUUAGGGAAUGUUUGCCUCAUAGGUGUAUUGCUCAGACCCAAGCCCGGGUCAGAGGUAUGGUGUUUGUCCUUGUCAAAGAAUGACAUUUUAAAUCACAGCUGUCUGUUUUUGCGUGUUUUUGUCUUAGCGCAGUUGGUGAGGCAUUAAUUUCUUGCAGAGCCUGCAGCUUUCAAAGCCGGGUGGCUGGAGAUCGCAGUUCAGGACUGCGGGCGGUUGGGUUUUUCUUUUAACUAACUCUAAACAAGUAAAUUAGUUAACUACUAACAGGAACUGUGGAAAUAAACUAACUCUAAACAACUAUUUGAAGAAAGAAGUUUGUGAGGAGAAAUCUUUGCGAGAGCAGGAGAGUUCCAUCUGAAACCGGGGGGCGGUGCAUGCACAAGAGUACUGCGGGAGGCUCGUGCACGCUACACAUGCACAACCCCCAAUACAUUGCUCAGAAAAAUCCAUGGAGAAGCACUGGAAUGCUCAACACCUGAUGUGGAGCACCCUUAGGGACGCCUCUCGACGAAGAAGCCACAUUUUCUACUUUCUCAGUUCACAUGAGAAUCCUGAAAGUUAUAUGCAAUAAGCAGGACUCGCCAAGCGGCGGCGAGCCCCGCUCGUCAGCCACAUGGUUUUGCGCCAUU